rnacentral:rRNA from 1 species
UGGCAUUCGAGUGGCGGACGGGGUGAGUAACGCGUGGGUAACCUGCCUUACACAGGGGGAUAACACCUGGAAACAGGUGCUAAUACCGCAUAACGGGGGGAGCCGCAUGGCACCCCCUGAAAACUCCGGUGGUACAGGAUGGGCCCGCGUCUGAUUAGCUGGUUGGCAGGGUAACGGCCUACCAAGGCGACGAUCAGUAGCCGGCCUAAGAGGGCGGACGGCCACACUGGGACUGAGACACGGCCCAGACUCCUACGGAAGGCAGCAG